AGAAUNUCAAAUUACAGGAUAACCCAAAAGAAUGCUACCAAUCGCACACACUUUCCACAAUAACGAGAAGCCCAAGACAUGUUUAUCACUUCUUCAGCCCAAAUUUGUAUAAGAUUCAACCUAAACCUAUUCUGAAGAGAAAAAAUUGGAAACCACAAAUUAAUAUUUGCACAAAGAAAUAUCAGAAACCAAAUAGCUAGCCUUUUGGAAUGAAAAAAAAAAUACUUACUACAAAGGCUACAUACAUACACACAGAAUAAUCUUAGAAUAAGUUAAUUCUCAAGGCAACAUCAAAACAGAUUUCGGGGAAAUACGGAACUCAUAAACCAAGAAAUGCAGAUAAUAAAAUUUCAAUCACAAAGAUAUUUAUUCAAAAAAAAAUGACAGAUCGAGAAUACUAACAAAAAUCUCAAACCAUGAAUUUAUAAUAAUGCACGGACAUUUACAUAUCAGAAACUCUCCAUGUAAAAUCAAACGCAAAACCCACAAAAAUAAGCACCAAUAUUCACAUAUCAGCAAUAAAAACUAUCAAAACCUGUUCGUUUUCUUCAAUAACAAACUAAAAUAACCCUCGUACAUAAAUCUCAGCAGCGUAAUGUUCAUGGUCAAUAGAGGUUCAUAAUUUUUUUAGCACACAAACUCUCAGAUACAGUAGACAUGUUUAAAUUCGCAAUCACAUCAAAAGAAAACGAUACCCAUAAAGAAAAUUUACAAGAAAUCAAUAAAAAACAAAAAGCUUGAGAUUGGCAGAAAAAAAAAAGGAAGAAUGCAAUAAAAUCAAAUCAAAAAAUAAUCUUCUCAGCAAGAAAAAAUAAAGUAACCCACACGCAUAAAUAUCAACAGUAUAAUAUUCAAUAAUCAUCCAAGAUUCAUAAUUUUGUACACACACAAAUACGCUGGGAAAUUCAGAAUCACGUUCCAUAAGAAAAAUCAUAUCCAUAAAAUAAAUAUAAACGAUAAAAUAGAGAAAUUUGAAGAUACCCAAAAGAAAAGAAACUGAAGUAUUAACUAAUAUGUCUCUUGUGAGAAGCUUCAGGAUGAGGAAGAACUUUUGUUUUCUUGAAAAAU
rnacentral:lncRNA from 1 species